GCCAUGGGGUGUAGAUUGGCCUGAGCAAAUUUGGUGUCAGUGGGACGAAAGCCUUAGGAGGAGUUAGCCACAUUCCAAUGUGUGCUAAUCGGCAAAAAAUGCAAAAUAGCCUUUUAACCGUACAUUUUACAGAUACGCGCGCAUUGACUUUUUCGUAGAUCUUAUUGAGAUACAUGUGUGUGUCAAAUUUUGUGUCAAUAUGACAAAGCAUACAGGUAUGACAGUCAACAAUGUGUAUUUUCACCUUAUGGGACAAGAAAAAAUGGACUUUUUUCUCCUGCCAUGGGGGGCGCUCUUUUAGGGAGUAAAAAUUCCUUCACAAAUGUGUUGAUGGCUGGACAUUGCAUCAUCCUAGAAAACUUGGAGGCCAGUGAGGACAAAAAUGAAAAGUUAUAAGACUUUUAAGAAUGUGGAUUUUUGGGUUAUCUUUGGCGCCCCCUAGAACGUAAACCGUGGGGUGCAGCGUCAUGAUUUGUACAACUUUUAAUGGCCAUGGGGUGUAGAUUGACCUGAGCAAAUUUGGUGCCGGUGGAACGAAAGCCUUUGGAGGAGUUAGCGAAAUUCCAAUGUGUGCGGAUCGGCAGAAAAUGCGAAAUAGCCCUUUAACCGUACAUUAUACAGAUACGCGCUCUUUGACUUUUUCGUAGAUCUUAUUGAGAUACACGUGAUUGUCAAAUUUUGUGUCAAUAUGACAAAGCGUUCAGGCGUGACACUCUACAAUGUGUAUUUUCAUGUUAGGGGACAAGAAAAAAUGGACUUUUUUCACCUGCCAUGGGGGGGCGCUCUUUUGGGGAGUAAAAAUUCCUUCACAAAUGUGUUGAUGGCUGGACAUUGCAUCAUCCUAGAAAACUUGGAGGCCAGUGAGGACAAAAAUAAAAAGUUAUAAGACUUUUAAGAAUGUGGAUUUUUGGGUUAUCUUUGGCGCCCCCUAGAACGUAAACCGUGGGGUGCAGCGUCAUGAUUUGUACAACUUUUGAUGGCCAUGGGGUGUAGAUUGGCCUGAGCAAAUUUGGUGCCAGUGGAACGAAAGCCUUCGGAGGAGUUAGCGAAAUUCCAAUGUGUGCGGAUCGGCAAAAAAUGCGAAAUAGCCCUUUAACGGUACAUUUGACAGAUACGCCCGCACUGACUUUUUUGUAGGUCUUAUUGAGAUACACAUGUGUGUCAAAUUUUGUGUCAUUUUGACAAAGCGUACAGGCGUCAGGUGAAUUUUCACCAUAGGGGGCGCUAUGGAGCCAUUUUUCAUUUUUUUGUUUGGGCGACUUCAGAAUAUCGAAUUUUUCACCAGGCCCGGUCGUCCUGCCAAAUUUCCUGAGUUUUCGCCAGUGGGAAGUGGGCCAUUUUCCAGUUUAAAGCGGAGGAAAAAUAACGAAAGAAGAAUCCAUCAGGAACAAGAGGGCUCUCGCAGCUGCUUAGCAGCUACGCUCGGGCCCUAACUAGGGCCCCGGUGGGGCACUGGCGGGCCCGAGCUGUGUCGCGCCCCCCCCCCCCCCCCCCCCCCCAACGCGCUGCCUCCCCGUCCCAUUCGCGUCCUCUGGCCAUCGUCCUCUCUGGUAACGCCCAUCACUGCAAAGACCCUUUUCCUUCAUCGGCGUUUGCUGUUCUUCCUGCCAGUGCGUGUGGCUUUCACUUGCACUUGCCACAGCCAGCCUCGUGAGUGCCUAGCCUAUUGGAUAUCACUGUCACCUACACAGGACAGUCAUUACCUUUCUAUUAAUACUUUGUUUUUUAAUUUCACAUUAAUUUCCAUAUUGUCUAAACGACUGGAAAAAACUUGAGCCCCUGCCCCUGUAUAAUCAUGUGCACGUCCCUGUUCUAGCUCCAAAGUGAAUCUUGACUGCUCAUGUUCUCCUCAGAAGCAGUCACCUCACUCCACUCAGGUUACUGUACACAUGCACCAACUGCCUGCUUCAGGUUUGGAUGGAGCUUCAUGGUUGUCUUUUGGAGAAAUGAGCAGUCAAGUUGUGUUUGAAAUUUCAUUUUUUUCAGGGGCAAAAGGAAGUCUCUGCAUUGUUGUCAAAUAUGUAAAUAGCAUGUUUUUGCAGGUGCUGAAAAACAGACUCUGAGUGUGUAUGUGUGUGUGUGUGUGUGUGUGUGUGUGUGUGUGUGUGUGUGUGUGUGUGUGUGUGUGUGUGUGUGUGUGUGUGUGUGUAUCCUGCAGUGGCCAAAACGACUUUUAAGAAUGUGGAUAUUUGGGUCAUCUUUGGCGCCCCCUAGAACGUAAACCAUGGGGUGCAGCGGCAUGAUUUUUACAACUUUGAAUGGCCAUGGGGUGUAGAUUGGCCUGAGCAAAUUUGGUGUCAGUGGGACGAAAGCCUUAGGAGGAGUUAGCCACAUUCCAAUGUGUGCGAAUCGGCAAAAAAUGCAAAAUAGCCGUUUAGCCGUACAUUUUACAGAUACGCGCGCAUUGACUUUUUCGUAGAUCUUAUUGAGAUACACGUGUGUGUCAAAUUUUGUGUCAAUAUGACAAAGCGUACAGGCGUGACAUUCAACAAUGUUUAUUUUCACCUUAGGGGACAAGAAAAAAUUGACUUUUUUGUCCUGCCAUGGGGGGGCGCUCUUUUGGGGAGUAAAAAUUCCUUCACAAAUGUGUUGAUGGCUGGACAUUGCAUCAUCCUAGAAAACUUGGAGGCCAGUGAGGGCAAAAAUAAAAAGUUAUAAAACUUUUAAGAAUGUGGAUUUUAGGGUUAUUUUUGGCGCCCCCUAGAACCUAAGCCAUGGGGUGCAGCAUCAUGAUUUGUACAACUUUGAAUGGCCAUGGGGUGUAGAUUGGCCUGAGCAAAUGUGGUGCCGGUGGACCGAAAGCCUUCGGAGGAGUUAGUGAAAUUCCAAUGUGUGCGGAUCUGCAAAAAAUGCGAAAUAACCCUUUAACCGUACAUUUGACAGAUACGC
rnacentral:lncRNA from 1 species